GAUGAACGCUAGCGGCAGGCCUAAUACAUGCAAGUCGAGGGGCAGCAGGGUAGCAAUAUCGCUGGCGACCGGCGCACGGGUGCGUAACACGUAUAUAAUCUGCCUUUUACAGGGGGAUAGCCUUUCGAAAGAGAGAUUAAUACCCCAUAAUAGUUGACUGGGCAUCCAGUUGAUUUGAAAGUUCCGACGGUAAAAGAUGAGUAUGCGUCUGAUUAGCUAGUAGGUGAGGUAACGGCUCACCUAGGCAACGAUCAGUAGGGGAUCUGAGAGGAUUAACCCCCACACGGAUACUGAGACACGGAUCCGACUCCUACGGGAGGCAGCAGUAAGGAAUAUUGGACAAUGCCCGCAAGGGUGAUCCAGCCAUGCCGCGUGCAGGAAGAAGGCCCUAUGGGUCGUAAACUGCUUUUACACCGGAGAAAACCCCCCUACGUGUAGGGGGCUGAUAGUAUGGUGAGAAUAAGCAUCGGCUAACUUCGUGCCAGCAGCCGCGGUAAGACGAAGGAUGCAAGCGUUAUCCGGAUUCAUUGGGUUUAAAGGGAGCGUAGGUGGACUGAUAAGUCAGUGGUGAAAUCUCUUCGCUUAACGAAGAAAUUGCCAUUGAUACUGUUGGUCUUGAGUACAGUUGCUGUGGGCGGAAUAUGACAUGUAGUGGUGAAAUACAUAGAGAUGUCAUAGAACACCGAUUGCGAAGGCAGCUCACAAAGCUGUAACUGACACUGAGGCUCGAAAGUGCGGGGAUCAAACAGGAUUAGAUACCCUGGUAGUCCGCACCGUAAACGAUGAUUACUCGCUGCUAGAGGGCAACU
rnacentral:rRNA from 1 species